AGCAACAAGGGUGAAAUCUGUACUUAAGUUAAAUUUCUUGUUUAAAGCAUCUUUUAGGUAGUUAAACGACUAGGAUUAGAUACCCUAUUAGUCUAUCCUUAAUUAACCUGGGUAGUAAUAUUAAAACCUAAAGAAUUUGGCGGUUUCUAAACUUACUAGAGGAACCUGUCCCGUAAACGACAAUCCACGAAAAAAUCAACCCAAACUUGUUAUUCAGCUUAUAUACCGUCGUUUAGGGGAUUAAACAAAUAGAUCUCCUUAAGAGCUUAGGCUAAUAAAUCAGAUCAAGGUGUAGCUUAUGUUUGGGUGAGGAUGGGUUACAAUGAAAAUUCAUACGGAACCUUUAUAUUACUGCAAAGGAGAAGGUGGAUUUAGAAGUAAGACCUAACACACUGAAGAAAGCCCUGAGAAAUGUACAC
rnacentral:rRNA from 1 species